UUCCGGUUGAUCCCGCCGGACCCGACUGCUAUCAGAAUAGGACUAAGCCAUGCGAGUCAACGUAGCAAUACGUGGCAUACGGCUCAGUAACACGUAGUCAACAUGCCCAGGGGACGUGGAUAACCUCGGGAAACUGAGGAUAAACCACGAUAGGUCAUAAUAUCUGGAAUGAUUUAUGGCUAAAAUCUACAUGGCCCCUGGAUUGGACUGCGGCCGAUCAGGCUGUUGGUGAGGUAAUGGCCCACCAAACCUAAAACCGGUUCGGGCUCUGAGAGAAGGAGCCCGGAGAUGGGCACUGAGACAAGGGCCCAGGCCCUAUGGGGCGCAGCAGGCGCGAAACCUCUGCAAUAGGCGAAAGCCUGACAGGGUUACUCUGAGUGAUGCCCGCUAAGGGUAUCUUUUGGCACCUCUAAAAAUGGUGCAGAAUAAGGGGUGGGCAAGUCUGGUGUCAGCCGCCGCGGUAAUACCAGCACCCCGAGUUGUCGGGACGGUUAUUGGGCCUAAAGCAUCCGUAGCCUGUUCUGCAAGUCCUCCGUUAAAUCCACCUGCUCAACGGAUGGGCUGCGGAGGAUACCGCAGAGCUAGGAGGCGGAAGAGGCAAACGGUACUCAGUGGGUAGGGGUAAAAUCCAUUGAUCUACUGAAGACCACCAGUGGCGAAGGUGGUUUGCCAGAACGCGCUCGACGGUGAGGGAUGAAAGCUGGGGGAGCAAACCGGAUUAGAUACCCGGGUAGUCCCAGCUGUAAACGAUGCAGACUCGGUGAUGGGUUGGCCUCGAGCCAACCCAGUGCCGCAGGGAAGCCGUUAAGUCUGCCGCCUGGGGAGUACGGUCGCAAGACUGAAACUUAAAGGAAUUGGCGGGGGAGCACCACAAGGGGUGAAGCCUGCGGUUCAAUUGGAUUCAACGCCGGA
rnacentral:rRNA from 1 species